rnacentral:rRNA from 2 species
UACAGAGACCCCGAGCGUUAUCCGGAUUUAUUGGGCGUAAAGCGUCUGUAGGCGUCCUGCACAAGUCCCCGGUCAAAGCCCACCGCUCAACGGUGGAACUGCCAGGGAAACUAGCAGGAUUGAGGUUGGGAGAGGUAAGCGGAAUUGCCGGUGUAGUAGUAAAAUGCGUUAAUAUCGGCAAGAACACCAAAGGCGAAGGCAGCUUACUGGAACACACCUGACGCUGAGAGACGAAAGCGUGGGGAGCGAAUGGG